rnacentral:lncRNA from 1 species
GGUCCCUCCAAGGCUCUGGCACCGUCCCCGCUUUUGAACUAGCUGGCCCCACUCUAGGUUACGACCUCGUGGCCUGGGGCAUGACUACAUUUCUCGACCAUUUCCUCCCUAUCUCUUUCUGCGGCUUGACGCCGCCCCAGUCCUUACCCUUCCUUUUUGGCGCUACAGUUGCUGCUGGAGGAUGUGGUCCGGCUGCGGGGGUCCUCACGGCGCACCGAGGCGAGGCGCUCUGGUGACAAGUAGCGGCGGACACUGCUAAAAGAGAGCACACAGGCGACGCAGAGCAUCCGCCAGCGCCGCCUUUAGGACCGCCAGCUCGUCUUCCUGUAACUGCAGCCGCUGCUCCAGCGCCGACACGCGGUCGUCCACUUCCAUACCGCUCGUGCCCGACAAAUUGUCAUCUGGAAGACGGGGGAGUGCCGGCUGCAGGGCCACCCAGGAGCUCCAGUGCCCAAGGGGUCCCUCCCGCCUUCCUGGGUCUAAGCGGGGGGCCAGCCACGCCCCUUUCCUGUCCCGCUACCUGGGGCUGGGACACUUGGACAUGAGCCAAGGAAGAGGACUCUGAAGGGGGAAGGAAAUCCCCACAGCUCUCCAACCCAUCCGCACACUCCUCUCUGCCACAGCGCGCUGGCCGUGUGACCUUGGGGAAGUCCCUUCCCUCUUAUUUUCUAAGAGUCUGUGAACCCAGGAGCCUCUCGCUCUGGCUUUAAGAUGCUAUGACUAAGACGUGACCAGGCGCAGUGGCUCACGCCUGUAACCCCAGCACUUUGGGAGGCCGAGGCGGGCGUAUCACGAGGUCAGGAGAUCGAGACCAUCCUGGCCAACAUGGUGAAACCCCGUCUCUACUAAAAUAAAAUUAAAUUAAAAAUAAAAUAAAAUUUAAAAAAAAAAAAAAAAAA